GCCACCUUAGCUCAGUUGGUAGAGCGACGGUAUCGUAAACCGUAGGUCCGCGGUUCAAGCCCGCGAGGUGGCU
rnacentral:tRNA from 1 species